AACCAUAGAAACCUGCGGAGUACCUGCGGAGGGAUCAUUAUAGGAAGAAGAAAUAUUAGAGAGAUGCGCGGGGGGGGAUGUGAAUGAGGGAGUUGUGUGUGUGUGUCAGUCAGUUGGGAAAAUUAUGUGUGGAGGACAUACUCUGCACUUUUUUUCUUUGCUUACUCACUCACUCGCUCGCUUUUUCCCACCCCCCCUUGUGUGUUUCUUCAAACAAAUUAUCGCAACUAUAACAAUGGU
rnacentral:misc_RNA from 1 species